CCUACGGGGGGCAGCAGUGAGGAAUAUUGGUCAAUGGGCGUAAGCCUGAACCAGCCAAGUCGCGGGAGGGAUGAAGGUUCUACGGAUCGUAAACCUCUUUUAUAAGGGAAUAAAGUGUGGGACGUGUCCUAUUUUGUAUGUACCUUAUGAAUAAGGAUCGGCUAACUCCGUGCCAGCAGCCGCGGUAAUACGGAGGAUCCGAGCGUUAUCCAGAUUUAUUGGGUUUAAAGGGUGCGUAGGCGGCCUUUUAAGUCAGCGGUGAAAGUCUGUGGCUAAACCAUAGAAUUGCCGUUGAAAAUGGGGGGCUUGAGUAUGUUUGAGGCAGGGGGAAUGCGUGGUGUAGCGGUGAAAUGCUUAGAUAUCACGCAGAACCCCGAUUGCGAAGGCAGCCUGCCAAGCCAUGACUGACGCUGAUGCACGAAAGCGUGGGGAUCAAACAGGAUUAGAUACCCUAGUAGUC
rnacentral:rRNA from 1 species